CCACUGCUAUCGGGAUAGGACUAAGACAUGCUAGUUGAGCGCUUCCAGCCAAUACGGGAGCGCAGCGCACAGCUCAGUAACACGUGGCUAAUCUGCCCUUGGGACCGGAACACCCCCGGGAAACUGGGGCUAAUUCUCGAUAGGUGAAGAACUCUGGAAUGAGUCUUCACCAAAAAGACGUUUACGUUAUGCUCGUAGGCGUCGCCCAAGGAUGAGGCCGCGACCGAUCAGGUUGUUGGUGAGGUAAUGGCUCACCAAGCCUUUUACCGGUGCGGGCCGUGAGAGCGGGAGCCCGGAGAUGGGCACUGAGAUAAGGGCCCAGGCCCUACGGGGCGCAGCAGUCGCGAAAACUUUGCAAUACACGAAAGUGUGACAGGGCUAUCCCGAGUGCCAUCCGCUGAGGAAGGCUUUUACCCAGUCUAGAACGCUGGGGGAAUAAGGAGAGGGCAAGUCUGGUGUCAGCCGCCGCGGUAAUACCAGCUCUCCGAGUGGUGUGGAUGUUUAUUGGGCCUAAAGCAUCCGUAGCUGGCUGAGUUAGUCCCUUGUUAAAUCCACCGAAUUAAUCGUUGGAUUGCGGGGGAUACUGCUCGGCUAGGGGACGAGAGAGGCAGACGGUAUUUCUGGGGUAGGGGUGAAAUCCUAUAAUCCCAGGAGGACCACCAGUGGCGAAAGCUGUCUGCUAGAACGCGCCCGACGGUGAGGGAUGAAAGCUGGGGGAGCGAACCGGAUUAGAUACCCGGGUAGUCCCAGCUGUAACGAUGC
rnacentral:rRNA from 1 species